rnacentral:tRNA from 1 species
GGAGGCGUGCACCGAAUUGGUUAAGGGGCCGGUCUCGAAAAUCGGUGGGGUUUUCCCCGUGUGGGUUCGAGUCCCACCGCCUCCGCCA